UACGUAGGUGGCAAGCGUUGUCCGGAAUUAUUGGGCGUAAAGCGCGCGCAGGCGGUCCUUUAAGUCUGAUGUGAAAGCCCACGGCUCAACCGUGGAGGGUCAUUGGAAACUGGGGGACUUGAGUGCAGAAGAGGAGAGUGGAAUUCCACGUGUAGCGGUGAAAUGCGUAGAGAUGUGGAGGAACACCAGUGGCGAAGGCGGCUCUCUGGACCACUACUGACGCUGAGGCGCGAAAGCUAGGGGAGCAAACAGG
rnacentral:rRNA from 1 species